rnacentral:rRNA from 1 species
UACAGAGGUGGCAAGCGUUGUUCGGAAUUACUGGGCGUAAAGGGCGCGUAGGCGGUUCGUUAAGUCCUGUGUGAAAUCCCUCAGCUUAACUGGGGAACUGCGUCUGAUACUGGAUGGCUUGAGUUUGGGAGAGGGAUGCGGAAUUCCAGGUGUAGCGGUGAAAUGCGUAGAUAUCUGGAGGAACACCGGUGGCGAAGGCGGCAUCCUGGACCAACACUGACACUGAGGAGCGAAAGCCAGGGGAGCAAACGGG